GUGGGUAUAGCUCAGUGGUAAGAGUGCAUGCUCAGCAUGCAUGAGAUCCUGGGUUCUAUCUUCAGUACCUCCA
rnacentral:tRNA from 1 species